rnacentral:lncRNA from 1 species
CGGGAAUCCAUUCCAGGUUGACUCCACCAGCGAGAAUCACAGGCGCCGCUGCCGCCUCGCCUCGGGCGUGGACCCUGCGGCUCGGGCCUGCGCGUGUGCACCCCGAGGUUGUCUCACUUCCUGUUCAGGGCGACCAGCGCUGCGCCCUCCCCACUCCACAGAUGAGGAAGCUGAGGUUAAAGUCACUUACCCCAGGUCACUCCGCAAGUUGAAGCGCAACCAGGAUACUCUGGAACAGGAUGCCUGACUUCAGAGGAGAGGCGCGUAACCACCAGGCAACUGGCCCCAUGAAAACAAGUCCCACAACUUCCCUUCUUUGGCGCCUACUUGCUCCCGGAAGAAAAGCCUUAAACGGUUACAGCCGCCAGGGCAACUGAAACUCCUCAGGCUCCAGAGGGCUGAAGUGAGUCGCCUCCACGUUCUUGAGGUGCUUCCGAGCCAGGAACAGUGCGAGGCGCCGGCGCCGCCGCGAGCUCAGGCCCUGGCCCACCAGCCAUGGGAAGGCGGGUCCGUGUAGCCCCAGGGCCUCCUCGCCCUCCAGCUCCUCUUCGCAGCGUGCACGGUAGGAGCGCAGCAGCGCCAGGCACCAGUCCUCGUCCACGCGGUAGCGUGCAUAGAAGGCGGCCUCCUGCGCCAAGCUGCCAGCGCGCAGCCAGCGGGUGACGACGGCGCGGCCCUCUCGCGCCAUCACGACGGGGUAGCGGUGCUCCAGCAGGCGCAG